CGGGACGGGGUGGAGUAAUGUCUGGGAAACGUGCCUGAUGGAGGGGGAUAACUACUGGAAACGGUAGCUAAUACCGCAUAACGUCGCAAGACCAAAGAGGGGGACCUUCGGGCCUCUUGCCAUCGGAUGUGCCCAGAUGGGAUUAGCUAGUAGGUGGGGUAACGGCUCACCUAGGCGACGAUCCCUAGCUGGUCUGAGAGGAUGACCAGCCACACUGGAACUGAGACACGGUCCAG
rnacentral:rRNA from 1 species